AAUGAACGCUGGCGGUGUGGAUUAGGCAUGCAAGUCGAACGAUGAACCGGACUUCGGUCCGUGGAUUAGUGGCGACCUGGUCAGUAACACGUGGGAACUUGCCCGGAAGUUUGGAAUAACCCCGAGAAAUCGGAGCUAAUACCAAAUGUGGACGAUAGUCUAAAGGCUUCGGCCGCUUCCGGACGGGCCCGCGCCCCAUUAGCUUGUUGGUGAGGUAAAGGCUCACCAAGGCCGCGAUGGGUAGGCGACGUGAGAGCGUGACCGCCGACACGAGGACUGAGAUACGGCCUCG
rnacentral:rRNA from 1 species